AAGACUAUACUUUCAGGAAUCACUUCUACAGUUUGUUACUAGAGAAGUUUCUGGAUAAAGAAGAUGUGUUGUGUGUAUAUAUACAACGGAAUACUACUCAGCC
rnacentral:snoRNA from 1 species